AGUUCUAUGGUGUAAAGGUAGCACAACAGAUUUUGAUUCUGUUUGUCUAGGUUCGAAUCCUGGUAGAACUA
rnacentral:tRNA from 1 species